GACACUGGGCUCGAGACACGUCCGCGUGCGCAUCUGCCCUGUCUGUGAGCUUUUUCUUUCUAUUCCAAAGCGGGGAACAAAAACAGACGUUUCCUACGCGGAGCGCUCGGUGUGUCACGGACAAGUCCGUGUCCUCUGCCAGAGACAUUUUGUCCUCUUUUUGACGUUUGUGCCGCAGCGCGUGCGAUAGAAGGACAAAAACGAAGAAGAAGAAGAGGAGGAGGAGGCGGAGGAUGUAGCUGGAGGCGAGCCGCGGAUGUUUUCGGGUCCACACGGUGUCCGCAGACAUGGUACGCUGAGGAACCGAGCCGGGACUGCUUUGGACCGGCGGACGGACAUGCGGCGGAAGCAGCCGGUGUGUGUUUAAGUCGGAUGACUGUGCUGCCUUCAGGGACACCAUGAGGACGGCGAUGUCCCCGGCCUGAGAGGCGCCUCACGGUUAACUGUUUUCUUCGGACUGCUUCCUGUUUGUCCUCUCUGACGUGCAAGCACGGGGACAGAAUGUCUGUGCGCACGGCGCUGGUCGGGAACGAGCGGAAUCCGGAUCACCAUGCCUCCCUGUCAGUCAGCCGCUCAGAGAAGAGCACCGGAUGGUCAAGCCGCUCACUUGGUGCUCGAUGUCGUAACUCCAUCGCCUUGUGUUCCGAUGAGCAGCCACACAUUGGAAACUACAGACUGCUCAAAACUAUUGGCAAGGGCAACUUUGCCAAGGUCAAGCUGGCACGGCACAUCCUGACUGGCAGAGAGGUCGCAAUAAAGAUAAUCGAUAAAACGCAGCUCAACCCGACCAGCCUGCAGAAGCUUUUUCGAGAAGUACGCAUCAUGAAGACUCUCAACCAUCCCAACAUCGUGCAGUUGUUUGAGGUGAUCGAGACGGAAAAGACUCUUUACCUGAUUAUGGAGUACGCCAGCGGAGGGGAAGUGUUUGACUACCUCGUGGCUCAUGGCAGAAUGAAGGAGAAGGAGGCCAGAGCCAAGUUCAGACAGAUUGUUUCAGCGGUGCUCUACUGUCAUCAGAAGUAUAUUGUCCACAGAGACUUGAAGGCGGAGAACUUGUUACUCGACGCAGACUCCAACAUUAAGAUAGCGGACUUUGGCUUCAGUAAUGAGUUCACUGCUGGCAGUAAGUUGGACACGUUCUGCGGCUCCCCGCCUUACGCUGCACCCGAGCUGUUCCAGGGGAAGAAGUACGACGGACCAGAGGUGGACAUCUGGAGCCUGGGUGUCAUCCUCUACACGUUGGUCAGCGGGUCUCUGCCGUUUGAUGGACAGAACCUAAAGGAGCUGCGGGAGCGUGUUUUGAGGGGGAAGUAUCGCGUGCCCUUUUACAUGUCCACAGACUGUGAGGGAAUCCUGCGCCGCUUCCUUGUCCUCAACCCAACCAAACGCUGCUCCCUGGAGCAAAUAAUGAAGGACAAAUGGAUGAAUGUUGGCUAUGAUGGAGACGAGCUAAAACCCCACUCGGAACCAGCUGAGGACUACAACGAUACCAGCCGCAUCGAUGUGAUGGUCGGGAUGGGCUUUACUCGAGAAGAAAUAAGAGAGUCUCUUGUCAGCCAGAAGUACAAUGAGGUCACCGCCACAUACCUGCUGCUGGGACGCAAGACUGAGUCGGAGGGCAGUGAGUCUCGAUCGGGCAGCAGUCUGAGUCUUGCUCGAGUCCGGGCAGGCGCCAUCACCAAUGGAACUAGCAAACACUCCACUUCGUCUUCCUCCUCUGGUGCUCCUUCCUCCUCUGGCCACAAGACACUGCGAAGCGCCUCCACGUACCACCGCCAACGUCGCCACUCUGAUUUCUGUGGUCCAGCAGUUCCCGGGUCAACACACCCCAAAAGGAGUCCCAGUGGUGUUGGAGAAGGGGCAACCGUUAAGGAGGAGCGACUAUCGAGUCGCAAGCCGACGACUAAUGUGGCCGGUUCUCGAAGCAUUCCAGCUCCAUCCAGUCCCAUGGUUAGCGCUGCCCAUAAUCCAAAUAAAGCUGAGAUACCUGAUCGGCGCAAGGAAGUCACCUCCACUACGAAUAACAUCCCAGCUAGUGCCAUGACACGGAGGAACACAUACGUGUGUACAGAUCGCGCCAACGCAGACAAACACUCGCUGCUGCAAAAUGGCAAGGACAACAGUUCCUUGUCCCACCGCCUUCCCCCUGCCUCGCCCCGCACACUCACAGCAUUGCCGGUGCCUCAGGAUCACAUCAUCAUCAACACUUCCUCCCGGCUUUCCAGGGGGUCUACGGUGAGGAAGCACAUUCCACGGAGGGCAGAUCAGAGACCGAAGGACGCAGCUCCCAUGUCGCGCCUGCAUCACCCACCCUGUCCCCGACUUGCUAGUCCGCUUCCCCAUGCCAGGACCGGGCCACCAACCAACUUGCUAAGCAACUCACGUCAAGCUGACGCGCAGGGUCACUCUUGACCCUUCUAAACGUCAGAGCUCACACAAGUCCAUGUCAGGCUGCACCCUCCCGCAGGGGACAAAAACAGUUAGGUCACAGACGAACCUGAGAGAAUCAGCAGAUCUCCGGUCACAAGUCGCCAUCUAUCUGGGCAUCAAAAAGCGGCCGAGCCCCGGACCCCCCGAUGCGGCUGGGAUGUGAGGGUGCGGAGCGCCCGCGACCCAGCCGAGGU